rnacentral:rRNA from 1 species
AUUGAACGCUGGCGGCAGGCCUAACACAUGCAAGUCGAGCGCGCGGCGCACGGGUGAGUAAAGUCUGGGAGACUGCCUGAUGGAGCGGGAUAACUCUUGGAAACGGUAGCUCUUACACCGUACCAUCAGAUGUGCCCAGAUAGGAUUUGAUAGUAGGUGUGGUAAGGGCUCACCGAGGCGACGCUCCCUCGCUUGGCUGAGAGGGGGACCAGCCACACGUGAACUGAGACACGGUCCAGACUCCUACGGGAGGCAGCAUAGGGGAAGAUUGCACAAUGGGCGCAAGCCUGAUGCAGCCAUGCAGCGAGUAUGAAGGGGGCCUUCGGGUUGUAAAGGACUUUCAGCGGGGAGGCGUUACCCGCAGAAGAAGCACCGGCUAACUCCGUGCAGGCAGCCGCGGUAAUUC